UUAUGGCCAUAUCAUGUUGAAACACCGGUUCCUGCAUGAUCACUGAAGUUAAGCAAUAUUGAGCCUGGUCAGUACCUAGAUGGAUGACCACUUGGGGAUAACAGGUGGUGUA